GCCAGGUGUGGUGGUGCACACCUGUAAUCCCAGCUACUCAGGAGGCUGAGGCAAGAGAAUUGCUUGAACCUGGGAGGCGGAGGUUGCAGUGAGCUGAGAUUGUGCCACUGCACUCCAGCCUGGGUGACAGAGCAAGACUCUGUCUCAA
rnacentral:SRP_RNA from 1 species